rnacentral:rRNA from 1 species
CCUACGGGUGGCUGCAGUGAGGAAUAUUGGUCAAUGGACGAGAGUCUGAACCAGCCAAGUAGCGUGAAGGAUGACGGCCCUAUGAGUUGUAAACUGCUUUUUUAUGAGGGUAAAAUGUUACACGUGUAUGAGGUUGUAUGUAUCAUAUGAAUAAGGAUCGACUAACUCCGUGCCAGCAGCCGCGGUAAUACGGAGGAUCCGAGCGUUAUCCGGAUUUAUUGGGUUUAAAGGGUGCGUAGGUGGUUCGAUAAGUUAGUGGUGAAAUUCUGGGGCUCAACCGCAACACUGCAUCUGAAACUGGCGGUCUUGAGUUUAGUAGCGGUGGGCGGAAGGUGUGGUGUAGCGGUGAAAUGCAUAGAGAUCAUGCAGAACACCGAAUGCGAAGGCAGCUUACCAAACUACGACUGACGUUGAGGCACGAAAGUGUGGGUAUCAAACAGGAUUAGAUACCCUGGUAGUC